AGGUGUUUAUUCUUUACUGUUUCGUUUGUUUAUUUUUGACUUGAGCUGCUUGAAAAGGUGUUUUAUGUUUAUGAUUAUGAAAAUUAAAGUGUUGUGAGUGUGCUGAAGCUGAUUAUUUGUUAUUAGUGGUGACAGCUUGCAUGGAUCCCGGUCGUGACUCCAUCAUAUACAGAAUGACAAGUACUCGUAUGAAGAAAGACAAUUAAACUACUUCAGAACUGUUGUGUUAAUUUACAAUUAGAUCGUCUGGUACUUAAGAGUCGUAGGCAGUAUUUUUAUUUGUAAAUAUAAACACGUAACAUAGAUCAACUUGUACCAUUCCAUGUUGUAAAUGUUGUUAUGAAUCACAGAUUAAAUAGCUGUCAAAGUUAGGGUGUUGGCUGUAAAUAAAAUGGUGUCAUUUUCAUUUUGACGUGAUGUUAUCUGCUAAUGUAAUUUGUUUGUACAGUAAAAUUUGAAUAUGUACCUAGUUGUUUAAACUCAAAGUACUGUAAUUUUAUUUCAAUUCUCGGUUGUUUGUUUUUAACACUCUUUAAAAUAAAGACAAGUGUGUAUCCCUCAUGU